rnacentral:rRNA from 1 species
AACGCGAAGAACCUUACCUGGGCUCGAACGGCUCACGAACGUCUUUGGAAACAGAGAUUUCCCGCAAGGGACGGGAGUCGAGGUGCUGCAUGGCUGUCGUCAGCUCGUGUCGUGAGAUGUUGGGUUAAGUCCCGCAACGAGCGCAACCCUUGUCCUGUGUUGCCAUCAUUCAGUUGGGAACUCGCAGGAGACCGCCAGGGAUAACCUGGAGGAAGGUGGGGAUGACGUCAAGUCCUCAUGGCCUUUAUGUCCAGGGCUACACACGUGCUACAAUGGACGGUACAAAGGGCUGCCAACCCGCAAGGGGGAGCCAAUCCCAAAAAACCGUUCUCAGUUCGGAUUGCAGGCUGCAACUCGCCUGCAUGAAGCUGGAAUCGCUAGUAAUGGCGGAUCAGAACGCCGCCGUGAAUACGUUCCCGGGCCUUGUACACACCGCUAGUC